rnacentral:rRNA from 1 species
AACGAACGCUGGCGGCAUGCCUAACACAUGCAAGUCGAACGAGACCUUCGGGUCUAGUAGCGCACGGGUGCGUAACGCGUGGGAACCUGCCCUUAGGUUCGGAAUAACUCCCCGAAAGGGGUGCUAAUACCGGAUAAUGUCUUCGGACCAAAGAUUUAUCGCCUUUGGAUGGGCCCGCGUUGGAUUAGCUAGUUGGUAGGGUAAAAGCCUACCAAGGCGACGAUCCAUAGCUGGUCUGAGAGGAUGAUCAGCCACACUGGGACUGAGACACGGCCCAGACUCCUACGGGAGGCAGCAGUGGGGAAUAUUGGACAAUGGGCGAAAGCCUGAUCCAGCAAUGCCGCGUGAGUGAUGAAGGCCUUAGGGUUGUAAGGCUCUUUUACCCGGGAUGAUAAUGACAGUACCGGGAGAAUAAGCUCCGGCUAACUCCGUG